rnacentral:rRNA from 1 species
AACGAACGUUGGCGGCGUGGAUUAGGCAUGCAAGUCGAACGAGAAAGCCACCUUCGGGUGGUUAGUAAAGUGGCGAACGGGUGAGUAACGCGUGGGAAAUCUGCCCUGCAGUUGGGGAUAACACUCCUAACGGGGUGCUAAUACCGAAUGAGACCACGAGAUCGCAUGGUCUUGAGGUUGAAGGUGGCCUCUCCUUGGAAGCUACCGCUGCAGGAGGAUCCCGCGUCCCAUUAGCUUGUUGGCAGGGUAACGGCCUACCAAGGCUUCGAUGGGUAGCUGGUCUGAGAGGAUGGUCAGCCACACUGGGACUGAGAUACGGCCCAGACUCCUACGGGAGGCAGCAGUCGAGAGGCUUCGGCAAUGGGGGAAACCCUGACCGAGCGACGCCGCGUGGGCGAUGAAGGUUGUAAGAUCGUAAAGCCCUGUCAG